rnacentral:rRNA from 1 species
AGUGAACGCUGGCGGUAGGCCUAACACAUGCAAGUCGAACGGCAGCACAGUAAGAGCUUGCUCUUACGGGUGGCGAGUGGCGGACGGGUGAGGAAUACAUCGGAAUCUACUUUUUCGUGGGGGAUAACGUAGGGAAACUGACGCUAAUACCGCAUACGACCUACGGGUGAAAGCAGGGGAUCUUCGGACCUUGCGCGAUUGAAUGAGCCGAUGUCGGAUUAGCUAGUUGGCGGGGUAAAGGCCCACCAAGGCGACGAUCCGUAGCUGGUCUGAGAGGAUGAUCAGCCACACUGGAACUGAGACACGGUCCAGACUCCUACGGGAGGCAGCAGUGGGGAAUAUUGGACAAUGGGCGCAAGCCUGAUCCAGCCAUACCGCGUGGGUGAAGAAGGCCUUCGGGUUGUAAAGCCCUUUUGUUGGGAAAGAAAAGCAGCAGGUUAAUACCCCGCUGUUCUGACGGUACCCAAAGAAUAAGCCCCGGCUAACUUCGUG